rnacentral:rRNA from 1 species
UGUGGGAAUUGCUGGAGAUACUAUAGACUUGAGACCGGGAGAGGUUAGAGGUACUCCCAGGGUAGAGGUGAAAUUCUGUAAUCCUGGGAGGACCGCCUGUUGCGAAGGCGUCUAACUGGAACGGUUCUGAACGGUGAAGGGACGAAAGUUAGGGGCGCGAACCGGAUUAGAUACCCGGGUAGUCCUAACCGUAAACGAUGCGGACUUGGUGUUGGGGUGGCUUUGAGCUGCUCCAGUGCCGAAGGGAAGCUGUUAAGUCCGCCGCCUGGGAAGUACGGUCGCAAGACUGAAACUUAGAGGAAUUGGCGGGGGAGCACCACAACGCGUGGAGCCUGCGGUUUUAAAUGGAUUCAACGCCGGACAUCUCACCAGAGGCGACAGCUGUAUGAUAGCCAGGCUGAUGACUUUGCUUGACUAGCUGAGAAGUGGUGCAUGG